AAGAUCGACGAUGAUGACAUCGUCUCCCACAUCCUCACUGGCUUGGAUGAGGAGUUUGAUCCUGUGGUCUCCGCUAUGUGCUCCAGAGUGCAGCCGAUCACUGUCCCUGAGCUGUUCUCGCAGCUCAUCAGCUUCGAGA
rfam:Triticum aestivum genome assembly, contig: Triticum_aestivum_CS42_TGACv1_scaffold_644292_T_1BL-0.069859_4AL-0.058002